UGUCAUCCUUUUACUGAAUCUAUAGGUUUAAGGAAGCGAACCUGGUGAACUGAAACAUCUAAGUAACCAGAGGAAAAGAAAUCAAUUGAGAUUCCCGCAGUAGUGGCGAGCGACCCGGGAAGAGCCGAUAUGUGAUAACUUAUUGUAUAGAAGAAUCAUCUGGAAAGAUGAGCCGUAGUGGGUGAUAGCCCCGUAUUUUAAAUACAGUAAGUGGUACUAGGCAUAUCAACAAGUAGGGCGGGACACGAGAAAUCCUGUCUGAACAUGGGGGGACCAUCCUCCAAGGCUAAAUACUCGUAAUCGACCGAUAGUGAACAAGUACCGUGAGGGAAAGGUGAAAAGAACCCCUGUGAGGGGAGUGAAAUAGAAUCUGAAACCGUGUACGUACAAGCAGUGGGAGCCCUUUUUAGGGUGACUGCGUACCUUUUGCAUAAUGGGUCAGCGACUUAUAUUCUGUGGCAAGCUUAACCGAAUAGGGGAGGCGUAGGGAAACCGAGUCUUAAUAGGGCGUCUAGUCGCAGGGUAUAGACCCGAAACCAGGCGAUCUACCCAUGGCCAGGCUGAAAGUUAGGUAACACUGACUGGAGGGCCGCACCCACAUCUGUUGCAAUAGAUGGGGAUGAGCUGUGGGUCGGAGUGAAAGGCUAAUC
rnacentral:rRNA from 1 species